UUUCAACUUGAGAGUUUGAUCCUGGCUCAGAACGAACGCUGGCGGCAGGCCUAACACAUGCAAGUCGAGCGAACCUUCGGGUUAGCGGCGGACGGGUGAGUAACGCGUGGGAACGUACCCUCUUCUGCGGGAUAGCCACUGGA
rnacentral:rRNA from 1 species